UACGUAGGGGCCUAGCGUUGUCCGGAAUCAUUGGGCGUAAAGAGCUCGUAGGCGGUUCGGCAAGUCACGUGUGAAAUCUCCACGCUUAACGUGGAGGCGCCACGUGAAACUGCCGUGACUCGAGUCCGGUAGGGGAGUGUGGAAUUCCCGGUGUAGCGGUGAAAUGCGCAGAUAUCGGGAGGAACACCAGUAGCGAAGGCGGCACUCUGG
rnacentral:rRNA from 1 species